rnacentral:antisense_RNA from 1 species
GCUGGCAACGAGCUUUAGUCAUGGUUUGGCAGAUGAGUCCACGACCGUAUUUCGCCAUAAAGUUAAUCGCUUCUGGCGUCACCAACUCGGCCGCCAUAAUCA